CAGUAGCCGCGGUAAUACGAAGGGUGCAAGCGUUAAUCGGAAUUACUGGGCGUAAAGCGUGCGUAGGCGGUUUGUUAAGUCUGCUGUGAAAUCCCCGGGCUCAACCUGGGAAUUGCAGUGGAUACUGGGUCACUAGAGUGUGGUAGAGGAUAGUGGAAUUUCCGGUGUAGCAGUGAAAUGCGUAGAGAUCGGAAGGAACAUCUGUGGCGAAGGCGACUAUCUGGGCCAACACUGACACUGAGGCACGAAAGCGUGGGGAGCAAACAGGAUUAGAGACCCCUGUAGUCCCUGUCUAUUAUAC
rnacentral:rRNA from 1 species